rnacentral:rRNA from 1 species
AGUGAACGCUGGCGGUAGGCCUAACACAUGCAAGUCGAACGGCAGCACAGUAAGAGCUUGCUCUUACGGGUGGCGAGUGGCGGACGGGUGAGGAAUACAUCGGAAUCUACUUUUUCGUGGGGGAUAACGUAGGGAAACUUACGCUAAUACCGCAUACGACCUACGGGUGAAAGCAGGGGAUCUUCGGACCUUGCGCGAUUGAAUGAGCCGAUGUCGGAUUAGCUAGUUGGCGGGGUAAAGGCCCACCAAGGCGACGAUCCGUAGCUGGUCUGAGAGGAUGAUCAGCCACACUGGAACGGAGACACGGUCCAGACGCCUACGGGAGGCAGCAGUGGGGAAUAUUGGACAAAGGGCGCAAGCCUGAUCCAGCCAUACCGCGUGGGUGAAGAAGGCCUUCGGGUUGGAAAGCCCUUUUGUUGGGAAAGAAAAGCAGCAGGUUAAUACCCCGCUGUUCUGACGGUACCCAAAGAAUAAGCACCGGCUAACUUCGUG